CCUGCGCUGCAUUGAUAGUUCGUAAUAAAUUCACAUAAAAACACACCAGAAGAUCUCCGAUUUUAUUUACAAAGAUCAUAUUUUGUUAUUUAUUGAUAAAACAAGCCAUUUUACCACAGCAGGUGACACAUAUUAGGCCUGAAUAAGACUUUAGAAUUUGAAGUGGUGGUGACGAUGCCGAUAUCCAAGAUGGCGGAAUUAUACCAGUGGUCAAAUCUCAUCUAUUUUGGUUAGACUUCGAGAUCUACAUUUUCGACAAAGGCCUGGUGUAAUAUUAUUACGUACUUGAUGAAGGUUUAAUGACACGAAUGAGUACAAGUACAUUACAUUUUUCGACGAAGGCCUUCUGUAAUUUCAUACGCUUCUUACGCAACAUUCAAUAGAUUUAUUUACUGUAUUAUCAUUUCGACCAAGGCGAAUUCGACACUUCAAUUACACAAGCACAAUCAAACUUAGUCAUUCCAGUCAGUUACUGAAGCACAGUGAAAACUGUCGGGAGCAGUGCAACUGAUGGCAUGUCAAACUUCCAGUGACUGUCCCUGUCCAUAUAUUUCAAGACAGUACAAAUCUUGUAAUCAUUUUGUUUAUGCAAUGUACGUUAUUAUGUAUCAUUUCAGCACAAUCAAACUUAGUCAUUCCAGUCAGUUACUGAAGCACAGCGAAAACUGUCUGAAUUAGUGCUGCUGAUGGCAUGUAAUUACUCUACUACCACUACCAGUGGCAGUCAAUGUCCAAAUAUUUUCAAGUGUGCGAAAUUAGUACUCGUCUACUUCUUAGUGUUAUUUGAAUGCAAUGUAUGUUAUAAAAAUAUUUUUUCAACACUAUAUCAACAUUCUCAUUCCUGUCAGUUUCUGAAAAUCAGCUAAAGCAAUCGCUACCAAUGCAGCUGAUAACAGCAAUUCUUUUUGUUCCCAAUGCCCAUCCAUGACAAUAUAUUUCACGCAUGUGACAAUCAUGUAAUCAUCCUGUUUUUUGUGUUCUAUUCAUGCAAUAAAUAAAUUCAGUAUUUUCAAAUCAUUGGUGCUACAAAACUAUUCUCAUUAUAGAUUAUUCAUAUUUUAUAAAAUGCUGUCAUGUCAAAUUUUGUGUCCUAUAAAUCAUAAUGAAGUCGGCAUUUUAUAUACAACUUUUGUACUCCUCCUAAAUAAACAUACAAAUCUUGUUUUAUGUAAACUUUGUAUAUGUGACCCGUCACAGCAAAACCAGGCGCAUGUCGCUCUGAGCUUGGCAGGUUGAGACGGACUGUUCUAAUCUUUCAUUAGCGACACCAUUUCUUACCAGAGUGCCUCCUUCAUUCAUACAUCUUGUACUCUAACUCAAGAUACCCAUCUUUGAAUAUUUUUAGUAUACCAAGUACUACAAUGUCAAUGUAUUGAAGUCAUGUUCUUGUAGUGUUAUUGGCUUUCCAUUAUCUUGUCAAAAUACCACUUGGUUCUCGCAAAAUCUCAAUAAAAACAAAUGCUAUUGCAUGUAUUGCAUAUUCUAACAGCUAUCCACUGUAUCGAUUUAUCCAUCAUCUGUACUAUUUGUCACAAAAAUGUUAUAUUAUGUAAAUCAUAUUUCAUUACAUAAUGCACACUGCCAAUUACUGCUGAACCAUUCAUAUGUCAUUUAAAUAAAUAAUUUUCAACUUUUUAAAACCGUCUUAUAGUACUGUUCUUGUCACUUAGCUGAACCAAUUGCUCUAUAGCAUGAAAUUUCCAGAAAUGCCCCAGGGACUGAAAAGUGCUGUUUUAACAGAGAGGUGUCCUAAACUGAGAAGUCGAG